UCCGGAAUGGUGUAGUGGCUAGCAUUUCUGCCUCUCAUUAAUCUGUCCAUUCGAUAGGAAAUUUGUUCGCAGGAGACCGGGGUUCAAUUCCCCGUUCCGGAA